rnacentral:rRNA from 1 species
AGAGUACGAGGUGGAUGCCUAGGCGCUGAAAGCCGAAGAAGGACGCGGAGACCGGCGAAACGUUCAGGGGGAGCUGCAUACAAGCGAUGAGCCCUGAGAAUCCGAAUGGGGCAACCCAUCCAGAGUCAUGUCUGGAUACCGCCUGCUGAAUCUAUAGGCAGUGACGGGGGGAAGCGGGCGAACUGAAACAUCUCAGUAGCCCGACGAGAAGAAAUCAACCGAGAUUCCCGUAGUAGUGGCGAGCGAACCGGGACGAGCCCAAACCAUCCUCUCUUUCGGGAGGGGGCGGGGUUGUAGGACCAGCAACAAAUCAAUCCGAGCUACUCAAACGCGUUGGAAAGCGCGACCAGAGUGGGUGAGAGUCCCGUAGAGGACGGCUUAGAACGAUGGGCUGGGAUCCUGAGUACCACGAGGCACGUGAAACCUUGUGGGAAGCUGGGGGGACCACCCUCCAAGGCUCAACACUUUCAGCGACCGAUAGUGAACAAGUACCGUGAGGGAAAGGUGAAAAGUACCCCGAGAGGGGGAUGAAAGAGACCCUGAAACCACGUACUCACCAGCAGUCAGAGGUCACUGUGCCACGAGGCACUAAGGACUGAUGGCGUGCCUUUUGUAGAAUGAUCCGGCGAGUGCAUCGGCGUUGCAGGUUAACCAGCGGUAAAGCUGGGGAGCCAGAGGGCAACCGAGUUUGAAGAGAGCGCAAGUAGCGCCGAUGCGACCCGAAACCACGUGAGCUAUCCAUGGUCAGAGUGAAGCGAAGGUGAAACUUCGUCGAGGCUCGAACUCACCAGUGUUGCAAAACUGGGGGAUGAACUGUGGAUAGGGGAGAAAUUCCAACCGAACGUGGAGAUAGCUGGUUCUCCCCGAAAUGUAUUGAGGUACAGCCACGUGACAGCUAUUGUGGAGGUAGAGCGCGGCAUGAGCUAGGGGCCAAGUGCUGGUUACCAACCUCAAGCCAACUACGAAUGCCACAACAGAUCAGCGCGUGAGUGAGACAGUGGGGGCUAAGCUUCAUUGUCGAAAGGGAAACAGCCCAGACCAUCAGCUAAGGUCUCAAAGAGAUGCUCAGUGUGAAAGGGAGUCAUUUCGCCCAAACAGCCAGGAUGUUGGCUUAGAAGCAGCCAUCAUUGAAAGAGUGCGUAAUAGCUCACUGGUCGAGUGGAGUGGCACCGACAACGUAUCGAGGCUCAAGCAUCACACCGAAGCUAUGGAUACCUUUUUUCGGAAAGGUAUGGUAGGGGAGCGUUCUCUAAGCCUGAGAAGCCAGACUGGAAAGACUGGUGGAGGUACGAGAAGUGAGAAUGCCGGAAUGAGUAGCGUCAUAUCUGUAAGAACCAGAUACACCGGAAGCCUGAGGGUUCCUGGGCAACGUCAAUCGUCCCAGGGUGAGUCGGGUCCUAAGCCGAGGACGUCAUAGUCGUAGGCGAUGGAAAGCAGGUCAGAAAUUCCUGCACCAGAGACAAUCGUUAUGAGCAAUGGGGGGACGCGGUAGGGAAGGUGAACCCAGCAAGUGGACAGGCUGGGCGUUUCGUUCGAAGUGCGUAUCCGAGGCAAAUCCCGGAUACCUGAGCAUGACGGCGGAACCGAGCUUGAGCAAUCAGGCGGAAGUCACUGUGCCCCAGGCCGUCAAGAAAAGCCUCUCGCCAGAUUGGUCUCUGCUCGUACCGCAAACCGACACUGGUAGGCAAAGAGAAAUCUCUUCAGGUGAACGAGCGACCCUCUGUCAAGGAACUCGGCAAAUUAACCCCGUACCUUCGGAAGAAGGGGUGCCUGAGUAGCUUCCGUCUUCGGACGGGGGUGAGCAGGCCGCAGGAAAUGGGCUCAAGCGACUGUUUACCAAAAACACAGGUCUCUGCAAACACGAAAGUGGACGUAUAGGGGCUGACUCCUGCCCAGUGCCGGAAGGUUACGAGGAGUGGUGAGCGUAGCCACGAAUCUAAGCCCCGGUGAACGGCGGCCGUAACUAUAACGGUCCUAAGGUAGCGAAAUUCCUUGUCGGGUAAGUUCCGACCCGCACGAAAGGAGUAACGACUUGAGCACUGUCUCGACAGAGGACUCGGCGAAAUUGAAGUACCCGUGAAGAUACGGGUUACCCACGACAGGACAAAAAGACCCCGUGGAGCUUUACUACACCUUGGCCUGGAAACGAGGCGGAUUGUGCGUAGCAUAGGUGGGAGCCGGAGAAUCCAUCCUUGUGGGGGUGGAGGAGGCGCAAGUGAAAUACCACUCUCAAUGUGUUUUGUGUCUCACAUGCAUCCAUGAGCUGGAGCGUGGACAGGGCCAGGCGGGUAGUUUGACUGGGGCGGUCGCCUCCCAAAAGGUAACGGAGGCGCCCAAAGGUUCCCUCAGCCUGGAUGGAAAUCAGGCCUUGGCGUGUAAUGGCGUAAGGGAGCUUGACUGUGAGGCCGACAAGCCGAGCAGGGACGAAAGUCGGGCAUAGUGAUCCGACGACUCUGAAUGGAAAGGUCGUCGCUCAACGGAUAAAAGCUACCCCGGGGAUAACAGGCUGAUCUUGCCCAAGAGUUCACAUCGACGGCAAGGUUUGGCACCUCGAUGUCGGCUCGUCGCAUCCUGGGGCUGGAGUAGGUCCCAAGGGUUGGGCUGUUCGCCCAUGAAAGCGGCACGCGAGCUGGGUUCAGAACGUCGCGAGACAGUUCGGUCUCUAUCCGUCGUGGGCGUAGGAUUAUUGAGGGGCGUCAUCUUCAGUACGAGAGGACCGAGAUGGCUCGACCGCUGGUGUGCCAGUUGGGGUGCCCACCCCAUCGCUGGAUAGCUAUGUCGAGAAGGGAGAAGCGCUGAAAGCAUCUAAGCGCGAAGCCGCACCCAAGACGAGUAAUCCCAUCUCUGCGUGAGAUUAAGAUCCCAGGGAGACGACCUGGUUGAUAGACGGGACGUGGACACCCGGUAACGGGCGCAGCGAACCCGCACUAAUGAUCGUACGGCUUGUUU